ensembl:lncRNA
GGGAGCUAUCAGCACUCACCUCAGCAGAGAAAACAGAGCUGUGAUGAAAGCAAAAAAGUAGAGAGGAGGGGAAAGACUGACAGGCACAGACAGACAGAGAGUGAAGGUUAAAAUGACAGAGAGACAAGCAGGCGGGAGCACGGAGAGAAUGAGGGGGCGAAAAGUGGACAGCUGCGAUGAAACAAGAGCCUGAAAAGAGAUGGAAGGAAAGACGGGCAGACAGACUGACAUCUCUAGCUAUCAAACCCUUGUGGAUUCACCCUGGGGAACACCGGCUCACGUGGCUGCAGAUAAGAGCGGGAGGAAUAAAACAGACAUCAGGUAUGAACAGAAACAAUCCAGACAAGAAGAAAGACAAAGCAAAUAUGCUGAUAGAGGUGGAGUGUGUGUGUGAGAGGCGGGGGCGGCCGGGGCUGCAUGUUUCCCAGAGCUGUCAGGCUGGUGGCUCCGCAGUCAUCAGUGCUCCGCUCUCAAAAUGGAGGACCAGACCACAAGGACCACUUCAGCGUCCAAACACAAAGAAGAGCACGAGCACGAACAGCCAACCACACCGUAAAAUGAAUAUGAAUACAUUAUUAGAUUAUGAAAUGAUGAUACGCACUGAGCACACAUGAAAAGCAGUCAAAUAUCUGUGAUAUUCAAACCACUUCUUGUCAAAGUCAAUCAGAUUAAAACACACACGCACAAUAUGAUCCCCAUCUUUCCCCAGUUCCUGUCCCUGUUCCUGUUUGUGGAGGAUUUUUUUCCCCUGUGGCUGUGAUUUCCGAUCCCUGGCUUCCACACCUGACAUUCGUUAUGUGAUCAUUAGCUACAUGAUCAUGUAGCUACACUGGCUCAUCUGUCCGCUGUCUGUUAGGUCCUUCCAUCAUUUCUACAGGUUCCCUGCAUGUACCAGGCGUCCUUCUCACCAGCGCCUGUGACAUUUGGGAUCUUUGUGGACGAAUCUUCUGUUUACAACCUGAAAUGAACCUACAGUAUUAGGUCAGCGAUCCCCAACCUUUUUUACGCCACGAACCGGUUUAUUUUCAAGGACUGGCCUUUAAGGUGGACGUGUGCUACUCUUGAUGUUUUCUCUGACUCUGUUUUGUCUCUGUUUCCUGUGUAUAGCAUGAAACAGCAGCAUUGUUUCGUCUGCUUUUUUGUCCAGCACAGGGAGUCGGGGUUAGCUAAUGUCUUGUCUUUUGGUUCUGUUGUUCUCUUAGGGAGUUAGGCAGAUUUCUUGUUGGGAGGAUACAUUGGUUUUGUUUAUUAUUGUGGCCUUUGGUUAACACUGAAGUCCAGCCUUGCUGACUGUAAAUAAUAUUCACAGUGUGUUGCAAUAAAGUGUUCAGC